ACGUACACUUUCUAGCGUUAUAAAGUACGUUAUUUUGUGUGGCCAUUACAGAGAGUCCCUAAACGCCUCACGGACUUUGCGGUGCCGCGAUUAGAGCAGAAACGCACGUGCCAGAGGUUUGCGACCGCAGAUAUGGAUCUGUACACUUUAUUAGGCCCCGUCUCCUGUUGCUGGGGAACUGCCCCAUCAUGAGCGUUUCUCACCGGGACACUGACCCCUGGUUGUUCCUGCAGGUCCACAGACACGCACAGGCCUGAGGGAAUGCCAGCGACACGGAGGAGAGGGACUGGAGACAGGCAGCCGGGGAAAUAAAGGAAAGAAACUUGGUCUAGAGGAAGACCCGAAUUCGCUGCUUCUGUGAUUCACACUUUAAACUUGUCUAAAACUCGCUGAGUGUCACGAGGCACAAAGGACGUCAGAUCAGAACCACACGAGGAAGAUGUGCCUUAGGUGCCGUGUGAAGUCGCCCCCUCCAAACCAAGGCUCAGAGCUGCUCUAAAUAAUUUAACUUCAGAUUUAAAAAAUAAGUUGGGGAAGCCUUUAAUAAAGUAUGUGGAAUUCACUGUAGGAACCUGUUUCAGCCAGUAAUUCAUGGAGCAAACAAAGAAUUAAAUCAUUGGUCACUCAUUCAUGCAUUAAUAUGUUUUAUUAGUUUAUAAUUGUAUAUCGCUUAACAAAAAAUGGCAACAUUCUCAGUUCACAUGUGUUUGGAUGCCUGCUGUGCAUCAAAUGGUUGAAUUAACUGUAUUGUUACAGCUCUGAUGUGAAAUUAAAUUACACAUUAGCCAAUG